rnacentral:rRNA from 1 species
GACGAACGCUGGCGGCGUGCCUAAUACAUGCAAGUAGAACGCUGAAGGAGGAGCUUGCUUCUCUGGAUGAGUUGCGAACGGGUGAGUAACGCGUAGGUAACCUGCCUGGUAGCGGGGGAUAACUAUUGGAAACGAUAGCUAAUACCGCAUAAUAGCAGUUGUUGCAUGACAACUGUUUGAAAGGUGCAAUUGCACCACUACCAGAUGGACCUGCGUUGUAUUAGCUAGUUGGUGGGGUAACGGCUCACCAAGGCGACGAUACAUAGCCGACCUGAGAGGGUGAUCGGCCACACUGGGACUGAGACACGGCCCAGACUCCUACGGGAGGCAGCAGUAGGGAAUCUUCGGCAAUGGACGGAAGUCUGACCGAGCAACGCCGCGUGAGUGAAGAAGGGUUUCGGAUCGUAAAGCUCUGUUGUAAGAGAGGAACGAGUGUGAGAGUGGAAAGUUCACACUGUGACGGUAUCUUACCAGAAAGGGACGGCUAACUACGUG